CCCCUUCAUCACAGCUGCUCUAAAAUGUUCUAAUUGGAUGUGAGGCUAUAUACAGCCCUUUAAGUAAGCACAUACCACUGUUAUACAUCUUCUGUUUGGAGAUACAAAGGGUUUUAAUUGGAGUGACAAUUUCCUGCCAUGUUAGCAUCCCCAGAAACAGAGCUCUGUUGUUCCAAUGUGUCUCACUGAUAAAAGCCUUUUACGAGUUCAGGGAAUGGGGCUGUUCUAUUUUGUUUGGAAACAUUAACAGAUAUUUUCCAAUUUAAAGAAAUUGACUUUUUGAGACUAAUUCAGUGCAGUGAAAUAUAAGAAUUUAAAAAUGGAAUCCAAUUAUCUCUAACAUGUACACUUUGUUGAAAAGCUAUUAAAUUGGAAAAUUUUUGAGCUGUUGCAAAAGCCACAUUUAAGCUUUCUGUUGGCAAUAAAAGAAGCAGAAUUUAAGAAUGGAAACUUCGACAGAUGAGUCCUAUCUCCUUUACAAUUGAGGUCUUACAUACACAUGAAUCUAGGCUUUGUCCUGACUUAGGCAUUUGUAACAUCCUUCGUUUGUGACUUGUUUUCUGUUUAUGACCAAAUAGAAUUCCAUUAGCACACAAUUCAGUCACUAGGUGGCUCCAUACAGCUUUUUAAAGAACAGAUUUCUAUGAAAAUCUGUUUUGGGAUCCCUUUUCCUUCGUUCUCAUUUCAUCUCAUAGACUUCUUGCUCCUCUUUCACAAUCUCUGCAGCUGAGUUGCAAACCAUCAGUUGUACGAAAUUCCCAUGAAGGACGGCCCCACCACAUCAUGCUGCCCCUUGGAGCCACCUGAGAACGGACUGAAACCUCCAAGAACUAUGCUUGGAGUGUGUCUUGGCAUCCCCGGGAUACGCAGACCACAGUCUGAGAACUGCUACUUUGAAUACUGCUACUUUAAGAAGCUGGCCUCACCAAGUACUGCAGGAACAUAGGACUAAAAUUCUAAAAUGCCUUAAAAUAACUGAAAGGUUUCUAGUGGGAUUUACAAGAAGGUAUGGGCACUCAUGUUGAGAAGAGUUUCAUGGUUUAUAUUUUCCAGGUGAAUGUAUCCUAAACUGUGUGAAGUGAUACACAGAAAAAAUAUACUCUGCCCUACUUCAUUGUAUGUAUUUGAUUCACUCCAAAUAGAAAUGCUAAAACAUAUGAAGGCAUUAAUUAUGCUUGUCACCAAACCUAGACAAGCAUAACAAAUUUCUCUGACUGGGAACAGAAUGUCUUUUACCUCUUUGAAUUAUGGAUCUAGCAUGUAAAACAAUUUGGCAUGUCAUUUAUAACAACUUAGGGGGAAAUGCAAAGCCCAAAUAAGGGAUAGUCAGAAGCCACAUACCUGUGGAUAUGCUACAGAGGUUAUAUAAAGUACAUUUUAUGUACUUACUUUAGCAUGAUUUGUAUAAAGUGAUAUAAGGUUACUUUGCAUAUUAUAGGAUGUAUGGAAACUCUAAAAAUGUAAUACACAUAUGAAGGGUAGGUAGUAGGCUAAGAAAGUGACAUGUAUUCAGUGUUAUUUUUGGGCCUUUCUGAGUGACAAAUAUGACCUACUUCUUAUACAUAUAAGCUAUUCAAAGUUCAUUAAGCCAGAUACUAUUAGCCCUUGCUUAAAGACCAUUAACCCUAUCUAAAACUAUUAACCUUAUCUAAAGCUCUAUCUGAAAACUGAAAUUAAUCCGGAUUAAAUGACUUGCAAAGGUAAUAGGAUUUUGAUUUCCUUGAUUAAUGUUAUUUGAGUGAAAUCAGUUUCCUUAAGAAGUAUGAAUUUCUUCUUCAUCCAAAUAUUUGUUUAGCUUUGGAUUCUAUAUUUAGGUUACUGCUCGAAGACACCAAAUUGCACAGUUUUCAUUUAUAAGCCAUUUUUGCAAACACAAUUGAAGAGAAACUGAAGCAAAUAAUAUUUUUGUCUUCUCUCAUUUUUUUCCCAUUUUCUUUUCUUGAGUUGCAAUGGAUCUCUGUAUUUCCGAGACUGGUCUUGAGCUCCUCGCUCACUUGUUUCUCCUACCUCAGACUCGCCAGUAGCUCAGGUGAUAGUAGGGCCAGUAUGCUUUACAUUUGUAUAACUAAAUUAAUAUCUUCAAAGUGAUAUAGCACAUACAGAGAUGCAAAAUUUCCAUGUGCACAGAAAUGGACUACACUAAAAAAUUGACAUUUUAGGAAGUUGGAAAGAAAUGAAUUAAAGGUCAAAGAUAGAAAAGAUGAUGUAGAUAAGGUGGGAAAUUCACUCUAUUUAAUAACACAUGUGUCAGCUUAAAUUUAGUAUUAUUUCACAAGAGAUUCUUUAACCCUAAUGUCUCCCAUGGUUCCCACUUAGUGAUGAGCUCUCACAGGCCCUCUAUCAUAGAGUAUAUGGAUCCUCAAUAAAGCAGAAAUUUAAAUUGCAAGCUUUGAUGGUUUUAUCCUCACAUUUACAAAUGAAUGCUUGCCUACAUAUGCAUCAGAGAAUUUCUUUCCCAAAUAUUUAUCUGCUUUUCAUGGACUAUAAGGGAAUAAAAAUGAAAUGCCAUGAACAGAAGAUGGAAAAGCAUUAGCUAUAUAAAAUAACACUGGAAAAGUACUCGAGAAAUCAGUGUAAUUUCUAAGCUGCAUGAGUUCCUUAGGUAAAUUUACUUCAUUAAGAGUUAAAAAAUAAAUGCACUCAACAUUGUGUAGGCCCUAAUUAAAAGCUUACUGAGAAAUUAAAUGUGGGAUCCCCAACUUUCAAACUCUGUAUAUUGUGGGACCUUAGAAGCAUUCAGUUAAAGUAGUUGUAGGAAACACUGUCCAAAUUACAUGACUGCUUGAUUUUAAAAUUGUUUCUGUAAAAGGUGAGGACGAAGACAGUCAGUUUCCUAUUGAGUAAAGAUGGUGAGUAGGAAUAAGAAAUUAGAAUACCGCAUCAGAAGGCUUGGAUUUUAUACUGAUAGCUUCAACCAGUAGAUGAAACUAAAACUGUAAGCAAUGCAAUAGGCAUUUAUUUUACAAAAGAAAAAGCUUAUUUUGUUUCAGUUUGCUCCUGACAACCUCUGUUACUCAUAAAUUGUAACUUUGAAUACAGCACUGAUUUUUUUUUAAAUGAAGGCUAUUACUUUGGAGGCUUUAAAACACAUAGCCAACUGCCAAUCAGUCACUGUAAAUUGUGAGCUUCACCUGAACUUUGCCAUAUAUUGAACUUUUUGUCGAAAUUCAACUCAAGAUUCAAGAUACUUAUCAGAAAAUAUUUCAGAUGGAUAAUACAAAGUGUUUUAUGUAAAGAGGAUAAUUCUUUUCUUAACAAUUUUGCAUGAAGAGAGGAACUCUAUUUCCCUACUCACGUGUAAAGUUAUUUGGGUGAUUAUAGAUUUUGGGUUACACUAGUUAAAAGUUCAUCUUGACUCAAUUUAAAACUUCCUUGUUCCAUAUUUAGUAUGCAUAUUAAACUUUAAAUUGAAGAUAUAAAAAUUCUAUAACAUUUUUCAGACAAUUUAGUGUAAUGAAGUGUGUUAGCUAAUUAGAAAAUACCACUUUUUCUACAUAUGCGCUAUGAACAAUAUUGCUUAUCUUAAAAAUCAUUCAAGUUAGAUACUAUUUCAAUUUUACAGAAAGAUCAAGAACCAGAGUUUCACUAACCUAUUAAUGUUAAAAUGUAUUAGAAAAAGCUAAUGUAUAUCUAGCUCAGUCUGAAACAAAAAGCUCUGCUUAUCCAAAACUGCUUAGUAUGUUUCUGAGCUUUAUCUGCAAUCUGAAGCAUUCAUGUUAGCCAUAAAAUCUUUUAAAGACUUAACUAUAUUCCUGAUACAGAAUGAGAAAUUAUACAAACUUAUUUCAUGAUUAAUUAUUAACCAGAAGCAAAAAAGACCAUGUGGGAUAUCCAGUUCCUAAGGAUUAAAAAUGUCCUAACAAUUCUAAAUAAAAUAACCAUUUAAGAUUUGUA